GACGAACGCUGGCGGCGUGCUUAACACAUGCAAGUCGAACGGAAAGGCCCUGCUUUUGUGGGGUGCUCGAGUGGCGAACGGGUGAGUAACACGUGAGUAACCUGCCCUUGACUUUGGGAUAACUUCAGGAAACUGGGGCUCAUAUCGGAUAGGAGCCCCUGCUGCAUGGUGGGGGUUGGAAAGUUUCGGCGGUUGGGGAUGGGCUCGCGGCUUAUCAGCUUGUUGGUGGGGUAGUGGCUUACCAAGGCUUUGACGGGUAGCCGGCCUGAGAGGGUGACCGGCCACAUUGGGACUGAGAUACGGCCCAGACUCCUACGGGAGGCGGCAGUGGGGAAUAUUGCACAAUGGGCGGAAGCCUGAUGCAGCAACGCCGCGUGCGGGAUGACGGCCUUCGGGUUGUAAACCGCUUUCGCCUGGGACGAAGCGUGAGUGACGGUAAUUGGUGAAGAAGCACCGGCUAACUACGUG
rnacentral:rRNA from 1 species